GACGAACCGUGCGAACGUUAUUCGGAAUCAUUGGGCUUAAAGCGCGUGUAGGCGGAUUCGUGCGUCUGUCGCUGAAAUCCCCCGGCUCAACCGGGGAACGGGCGCGGAUACGACGAGUCUGGAGGGGCAUAGGGGGACCUGGAACUUCCGGUGGAGCGGUGAAAUGCGUUGAGAUCGGAAGGAACGCCCGUGGCGAAAGCGAGGUCCUGGACGUCUGCUGACGCUGAGACGCGAAAGCCAGGGGAGCGAACGGGG
rnacentral:rRNA from 1 species